GUAAGUGAGCAAAUCUCAUCCAUUCAUUAUAAAAUAAUCUCAGCCGUCAGUUUAUUUAAUGUAUUUCUCCUCCAAUUUCUUUCCCAACAUGUUGAGUCUGUGAGCAGUGAGAUGCGGCAACUCCGACGACUUGGUAGGAUCAACGCAUGGUGGUCUAAGGUGGCAAAUGGUAAUGGUUAUUUGACGAUUUCACCGAUAAUCGAAAUGUUGAUCCCACUACAAGUUUGAUGCUGUCGAUGUUGGUAAGAUUUUGCAUCUUAGAGGGUGAAAGGGCUAGGUCUAAAAGGGGGGGUUCUACAGAAUAUUGGCGGAGGAUCCAUAGGGGUUGAUGAUUGUUGUCCAGAGAUGUAAAGCAAGUCCCAUCCUAUAACAUCCUACGAAGUUGUGCUCUCCAACAGAGAAGAUAGGUUGUAUCCAUAUAGAAAAGUAGCCAGCAAAAUCCAUGUUGUGCCUAUUUCACUAUCCUGUAUGAAGUAAUUAAUAUUGCCAUGUGAUGAGACAAUCUUUAUAUGUAGUAAGCAAACAUACAAGUGUAUAAUGAUGUCAAUUGUAUACAAUAUAUUGAAAUGAAUAUAAAAUUAUUCUUCUAUUGA